GAUAAACGCUGGCGGCGCACAUAAGACAUGCAAGUCGAACGAACUUAACCUAUUCUUAACGAUUAGGAGCGGUUAGUGGCGGACUGGUGAGUAACGCGUGGGUAACCUGCCUCAUACAGGGGGAUAACACUUAGAAAUAGGUGCUAAUACCGCAUAAGCGCACAGCAUCGCAUGAUGCAGUGUGAAAAGCUCCGGCGGUAUGAGAUGGACCCGCGUCUGAUUAGCUGGUUGGUGGGGUAACGGCCCACCAAGGCGACGAUCAGUAGCCGGCCUGAGAGGGUGAACGGCCACAUUGGGACUGAGACACGGCCCAA
rnacentral:rRNA from 1 species